GAAAGAUGGUUUCGGCUAUCACUUACAGAUGGGCCCGCGGCGCAUUAGCUAGUUGGUGAGGUAACGGCUCACCAAGGCCACGAUGCGUAGCCGACCUGAGAGGGUGAUCGGCCACACUGGGACUGAGACACGGCCCAGACUCCUACGGGAGGCAGCAGUAGGGAAUCUUCCGCAAUGGACGAAAGUCUGACGGAGCAACGCCGCGUGAGUGAUGAAGGUUUUCGGAUCGUAAAGCUCUGUUGCCAGGGAAGAACGUCCGGUAGAGUAACUGCUAUCGGAGUGACGGUACCUGAGAAGAAAGCCCCGGCUAACUACGUGCCAGCAGCCGCGGUAAUACGUAGGGGGCAAGCGUUGUCCGGAAUUAUUGGGCGUAAAGCGCGCGCAGGCGGUCAUUUAAGUCUGGUGUUUAAACCUUGGGCUCAACCUAAGGUCGCACUGGAAACUGGGUGACUUGAGUACAGAAGAGGAAAGUGGAAUUCCACGUGUAGCGGUGAAAUGCGUAGAUAUGUGGAGGAACACCAGUGGCGAAGGCGACUUUCUGGGCUGUAACUGACGCUGAGGCGCGAAAGCGUGGGGAGCGAACAGGAUUAGAUACCCUGGUGGUCCACGCCGUAAACGAUGAGUGCUAAGUGUUAGAGGGUUUCCGCCCUUUAGUGCUGCAGCAAACGCAUUAAGCACUCCGCCUGGGGAGUACGGUCGCAAGACUGAAACUCAAAGGAAUUGACGGGGACCCGCACAAGCAGUGGAGUAUGUGGUUUAAUUCGAAGCAACGCGAAGAACCUUACCAGGUCUUGACAUCCUCUGACAACCCUAGAGAUAGGGCUUCCCCUUCGGGGGCAGAGUGACAGGUGGUGCAUGGUUGUCGUCAGCUCGUGCCGUGAGGUGUCCGGUUAAGUCCUAUAACGAGCGCAACCCCUAUUGUUAGUUACCAUCGAGUAAUGUCGGGAACUCUAGCAAGACUGCCGGUGCAAACCGUGAGGAAGGUGGGGAUGACGUCAAAUCAUCACGGCCCUUACGUCCUGGGCUACACACGUGCUACAAUGGUCAGUACAGAAAGCAGCUACCUGGCGACAGGAUGCGAAUCUCAAAAGCUGAUCACAGUUCGGAUUGGAGUCUGCAACUCGACUCCAUGAAGCUGGAAUCGCUA
rnacentral:rRNA from 1 species